AUUGAACGCUGGCGGCGUGCCUAACACAUGCAAGUCGAGCGGUAACAGGUGUAGCAAUACAUGCUGACGAGCGGCGAACGGGUGAGUAAUGCUUCGGAAUCUACCCAAUGGUGGGGAAUAACCAGCCGAAAGGUUGGCUAAUACCGCAUACGUCCCACGGGAGAAAGCAGGGGAUCGCAAGACCUUGCGCCAAUGGAUGAGCCGAAGUCGGAUUAGCUAGNGGUAGGGUAACGGCCUACCAAGGCGACGAUCCGUAGCUGGUCUGAGAGGACGACCAGCCACACU
rnacentral:rRNA from 1 species